rnacentral:rRNA from 1 species
UGCAAGUCGAGCGGACAGAUGGGAGCUUGCUCCCUGAUGUUAGCGGCGGACGGGUGAGUAACACGUGGGUAACCUGCCUGUAAGACUGGGAUAACUCCGGGAAACCGGGGCUAAUACCGGAUGCUUGUUUGAACCGCAUGGUUCAAACAUAAAAGGUGGCUUCGGCUACCACUUACAGAUGGACCCGCGGCGCAUUAGCUAGUUGGUGAGGUAACGGCUCACCAAGGCGACGAUGCGUAGCCGACCUGAGAGGGUGAUCGGCCACACUGGGACUGAGACACGGCCCAGACUCCUACGGGAGGCAGCAGUAGGGAAUCUUCCGCAAUGGACGAAAGUCUGACGGAGCAACGCCGCGUGAGUGAUGAAGGUUUUCGGAUCGUAAAGCUCUGUUGUUAGGGAAGAACAAGUGCCGUUCAAAUAGGGCGGCACCUUGACGGUACCUAACCAGAAAGCCACGGCUAACUACGUGCCAUCAGCCGCGGUAAUACGUAGGUGGCAAGCGUUGUCCGGAAUUAUUGGGCGUAAAGGGCUCGCAGGCGGUUUCUUAAGUCUGAUGUGAAAGCCCCCGGUUCAACCGGGGAGGGUCAUUGGAAACUGGGGAACUUGAGUGCAGAAGAUAA